rnacentral:rRNA from 1 species
UACGGAGGAUCCAAGCGUUAUCCGGAUUUAUUGGGUUUAAAGGGUGCGUAGGCGGCCUGUUAAGUCAGGGGUGAAAGACGGUAGCUCAACUAUCGCAGUGCCCUUGAUACUGAUGGGCUUGAAUGUACUAGAGGUAGGCGGAAUGUGACAAGUAGCGGUGAAAUGCAUAGAUAUGUCACAGAACACCAAUUGCGAAGGCAGCUUACUAUGGUAUAAUUGACGCUGAGGCACGAAA